GUACAGUCAUCAUUGAUCUUGCAGACACAUUCUUUGUAGCUCUUACCAAAGAGCUGCAUGCCGACCACAGCAAAAAUGAAGACGAUGAUGGCCAACACCAAGUGGUGGUGCCCUGCAAACCAAAUACUGAUGGCUCAAACCACUCUUCCCAAUAAGUAAUACAACACCACAUAGCAUUUCUUUGGCAAAUCAUGCUACAUGCAAUUUUUCCAGUGCUGUGCAUCUUCCCAUUUGCUGGAAGCCCUGGCACCAUCCUGGAUGACAUACUGGCCUGACUAACG